GACGAACGCUGGCGGCGUGCCUAAUACAUGCAAGUCGAGCGGAUUGAUGGGAGCUUGCUCCCUGAUAUCAGCGGCGGACGGGUGAGUAACACGUGGGCAACCUGCCUAUAAGACUGGGAUAACUUCGGGAAACCGGAGCUAAUACCGGAUGAUUCCUUUCCUCACAUGGGGGAAGGCCAAAAGAUGGUUUACGCUAUCACUUAUAGAUGGGCCCGUGGCGCAUAGCUAGUUGGUGAGGUAAUGGCUCACCAAGGCAACGAUGCGUAGCCGACCUGAGAGGGUGAUCGGCCACACUGGGACUGAGACACGGCCCAGACUCCUACGGGAGGCAGCAGUAGGGAAUCUUCCGCAAUGGACGAAAGUCUGACGGAGCAACGCCGCGUGAGUGAUGAAGGUUUUCGGAUCGU
rnacentral:rRNA from 1 species